rnacentral:tRNA from 4 species
GGGCGAGUAGCUCAGCUGGUUAGAGCGCGUCGCUGAUAACGACGAGGUCAGUGGUUCGAGUCCACUCCCGCCCACCA